rnacentral:rRNA from 1 species
CACCGCGGUCAUACGAGUGUUUGCCCAAGUAGACAAUUACCGGCGUAAAAUGUGGUUAGGGAACCCCCCAAGUUAAUAGAGCAGAACUGCCUCCGGGCUGUUAUACGCACCCGACAGCGAGAAUUCCUAGCACGAAAGUCGCUCUAAUCCAACCUGAACCCACGAGAGCUGGGGAA